rnacentral:rRNA from 1 species
GUGUCAGCAGCCGCGGUAAUACGUAGGUGGCAAGCGUUAUCCGGAUUUACUGGGUGUAAAGGGCGUGUAGGCGGCUCCGCAAGUCAGAUGUGAAAUUCCCGGGCUUAACCCGGGCGCUGCAUCUGAAACUGCGGAACUUGAGUACUGGAGAGGAUAGUGGAAUUCCUAGUGUAGCGGUAAAAUGCGUAGAUAUUAGGAGGAACACCAGUGGCGAAGGCGGCUAUCUGGACAGUAACUGACGCUGAGGCGCGAAAGCGUGGGGAGCAAACAGGAUUAGAAACCCCGGUAGUCC